rnacentral:rRNA from 1 species
GUCUUGUAAUUGGAAUGAUGGGAAUUUAAACCUCUUCCAGAGUAUCAAUUGGAGGGCAAGUCUGGUGCCAGCAGCCGCGGUAAUUCCAGCUCCAAUAGCGUAUAUUAAAAUUGUUGCAGUUAAAAAGCUCGUAGUUGAAUUUCUGCUGCUUUGCAUUUUCUCCUUGACGAGUUUUUGCAUUGUGGCUUAUUUCGGAUUAUGCUUGCAUUUUCCGGAUGUUUACUUUGAGAAAAUUAGAGUGCUCAAAGCAGGCUUUUGCCUUGAAUAGUUUAGCAUGGAAUAAUAAAGUAGGACUUUGGUUCUAUUUUGUUGGUUUUAGGUACCAAAGUAAUGGUUAAUAGGAACAGUUGGGGGC